rnacentral:rRNA from 1 species
CACUCCUACGGGAGGCAGCAGUGGGGAAUAUUGGACAAUGGGCGCAAGCCUGAUCCAGCCAUGCCGCGUGAGUGAUGAAGGCCCUAGGGUUGUAAAGCUCUUUCACCGGUGAAGAUAAUGACGGUAACCGGAGAAGAAGCCCCGGCUAACUUCGUGCCAGCAGCCGCGGUAAUACGAAGGGGGCUAGCGUUGUUCGGAUUUACUGGGCGUAAAGCGCACGUAGGCGGACUAUUAAGUCAGGGGUGAAAUCCCGGGGCUCAACCCCGGAACUGCCUUUGAUACUGGUAGUCUUGAGUUCGAGAGAGGUGAGUGGAAUUCCGAGUGUAGAGGUGAAAUUCGUAGAUAUUCGGAGGAACACCAGUGGCGAAGGCGGCUCACUGGCUCGAUACUGACGCUGAGGUGCGAAAGCGUGGGGGGCAAACAGGAUUAGAAACCCUAGUAGUCCCAUGAU